GAACGCUAGCUACAGGCUUAACACAUGCAAGUCGAGGGGCAGCAUGGUCUUAGCUUGCUAAGGCCGAUGGCGACCGGCGCACGGGUGAGUAACACGUAUCCAACCUGCCGUCUACNCUUGGACAGCCUUCUGAAAAGGAAGAUUAAUACAAGAUGGCAUCAUGAGUCCGCAUGUUCACAUGAUUAAAGGUAUUCCGGUAGACGAUGGGGAUGCGUUCCAUUAGAUAGUAGGCGGGGUAACGGCCCACCUAGUCUUCGAUGGAUAGGGGGUUCUGAGAGGAAGGUCCCCCACAUUGGAACUGAGACACGGUCCAAACUCCUACGGGAGGCAGCAGUGAGGAAUAUUGGUCAAUGGGCGAGAGCCUGAACCAGCCAAGUAGCGUGAAGGAUGACUGCCCUAUGGGUUGUAAACUUCUUUUAUAAAGGAAUAAAGUCGGGUAUGUAUACCCGUUUGCAUGUACUUUAUGAAUAAGGAUCGGCUAACUCCGUG
rnacentral:rRNA from 1 species